rnacentral:rRNA from 1 species
ACCUACGGGGCGCAGCAGUGGGGGAUAUUGCACAAUGGGGGAAACCCUGAUGCAGCGACGCCGCGUGGGCGAAGAAGUAUUUCGGUAUGUAAAGCCCUAUCAGCAGGGAAGAAGAAAUGACGGUACCUGAGUAAGAAGCCCCGGCUAACUACGUGCCAGCAGCCGCGGUAAUACGUAGGGGGCAAGCGUUAUCCGGAUUUACUGGGUGUAAAGGGAGCGUAGGUGGCAUGGUAAGCCAGAAGUGAAAACCCAGGGCUCAACUCUGUGGAUUGCUUUUGGAACUAUCAAGCUAGAGUGCUGGAGGG